rnacentral:lncRNA from 1 species
UGUAUUUAUAGAAAUUUUCAAGGCCUAAUUUUGAAUAUAAUAUUCAGAUGAAAUAAAUCAUUUUUGCCAGGUGUUGACAUGUGUCCUUAUUUGAUGAUUUUUCCAAUUUAUUUUGAUUUUUCGUUUAGCCACACGCUACGUGUAAAAUUUAUGUGACACAUGAGCAUUGAAAUUGUAAUUAUUGGUCAACAUUUAUUUCACCGAAAUUUUGAUGUCUAUAGUUUCAUUCACCCACUCACGGUCACGAGUAACCUCCCACAACCGUUUUCUCAAUUCCUUUUUUCCGCUUACUCCAAACGUGAAAAAACAAAACUAAAUCCAAACUCCCAGGACACAUCUGAGGCGUAACUCCAAUUUUUGGUUUCUGACGAAGUAAGGAAAAGAAAGAGAUAUGUUCCAUGAAAGUUUCAUAUCGAACUCGCACAAAGGUGCAUAGACAUGAUUGUUUU